rnacentral:rRNA from 1 species
AUAUAAAGUUGUUGCGGUUAAAAAGCUCGUAGUUGGAUCUCAGUUCCGGAUCGACGGUUCGCCUCUGGUGAUUUACUGUCGGUCCGAACAGCUCGUCGGCUCGCUCGGGGUGCUCUUCACCGAGUGUCCCGCGUGGCCGGCACGUUUACUUUGAAAAAAUUAGAGUGCUCAGAGCAGGCUUACCGCCUGAAUAGUUGUGCAUGGAAUAAUGGAAUAGGACCUCGGUUCUAUUUUGUUGGUUUUCGGAACCCGAGGUAAUGAUAAAUAGAGACGGACGGGGGCAUUCGUAUUGCGACGCUAGAGGUGAAAUUCUUGGACCGUCGCAAGACGAACUACUGCGAAAGCAUUUGCCAAGAACGUUCUUAUUAAUCAAGAACGAAAGUUAGAGGUUCGAAGGCGAUCAGAUACCGCCCUAGUUCUAACCAUUAACGAUGCUGACUAGUAAUCCGUCUGUGUUAAUCCCAUGACUAGACGGGCAACUUCCGGGAAACCAAAGUCUUUGAGUUCCGGGGGAAGUAUGGUUGCAAAGCUGAAACUUAAAGGAAUUGACGGAAGGGCACCACCAGGAGUGGAGCCUGCGGCUUAAUUUGACUCAACACGGGGAACCUCACCAGGCCCGGACACCGGAAGGAUUGACAGAUUGAGAGCUCUUUCUUGAUUCGGUGGGUGGUGGUGCAUGGCCGUUCUUAGUUGGUGGAGCGAUUUGUCUGGUUAAUUCCGAUAACGAACGAGACUUUAGCCUACUAACUAGUCGGAGGGUCUAAUACAAGUGCCCUCCGCAGCUUCUUAGAGGGAUAAGCGGCAUCUA